GGGCACCUUCGGGGGCCUAUAUCCCGGGCCCAAGGGCCUCAAACAUAGCGGGGCGCCCAACGCCUCGCACUGCUAAACGGAAGACAGAAA
rnacentral:ncRNA from 1 species